UACGAAGGGGACUAGCGUUGUUCGGAAUCACUGGGCGUAAAGCGCACGUAGGCGGAUAUGUCAGUCAGGGGUGAAAUCCCGGGGCUCAACCUCGGAACUGCCUUUGAUACAGCAUAUCUUGAGUCCGAUAGAGGUGGGUGGAAUUCCUAGUGUAGAGGUGAAAUUCGUAGAUAUUCGCAAGAACACCAGUGGCGAAGGCGGCUCACUGGCCCGGAACUGACGCUGAGACGCGAAAGCGUGGGGAGCAAACAGG
rnacentral:rRNA from 1 species